rnacentral:rRNA from 1 species
AUUGAACGCUGGCGGCAGGCCUAACACAUGCAAGUCGAAUGGUAACAGGAAACAGCUUGCUGUUUCGCUGACGAGUGGCGGACGGGUGAGUAAUGUCUGGGAAACUGCCUGAUGGAGGGUGAUAACUACUGGAAACUUUACCUAAUACCGCAUAACGUCGCAAGACCAAAGAUGUGGACCUUCUUGCCUCUUGCCCUCAUCUUUUCCCAGUUGGGAUUAGAGAGUAGGUGGGGUAACGGCUCACCUAGGCGACUAUCCCUAGCUGGUCUGAGAGGAUGACCAGCCACACUGGAAAUGAGACACGGUCCAGACACCUACGGGAGGCAGCAGAGGGGAAUAGUGGACAAUGGGGGAAAGCCUGAUGCAGAAAUGCCGAGUGUAAGAAGAAGGCCUUAGGGUUGUAAAGUACUUUGAGAGGGGAGGAAGGGAGUAAAGUUAAUACCUAAGCACAUUGACGUUAACCGAAGAAGAAGCACCGGCUAACUCCGUG